UGGGCAAUGGGAAGAAUCGUGGAUGUGUAUCCAGACAAGAAGGGACUGAUACGAACAGUGCUUGUUAAAAUUCGUAAUAGCUUGGUAAAGCGUCCCAUCACCAAGCUAGUUCUUGUUGUUGAAGGCACUAAAUGACUAUUGAGGCUUGGAGAUCAUGUUGUGUUUUGAAAUUUAUUUCCUAUGUACAUAAAUUUGUGGGGGGGAAUGUUAGAUCUCCAGCGCCGGUAGUGUCUAUUUCUUUAUUGCUGACACGUUUGCAUCUUUUCGUUUGUCAACGUCGCAAACGUCUCAAUUCAUUACUCGCAUUUGAUGUGUUUCUUUAUUAUCUGUAGACCGAGCCGAGAAGGUUUCUGUCUACUGCAAUUUGCGUGUUUACAUCGUUAUUGUAUCGCCUGGCGUUAGAGCCGAAAUUAUAAAUGUGCACAGCUAGUUUGCUGUUGCAAUGCGUUACUUCUAUGGCGAUUUAUCAUUAGGAAAGCUGUAUCAUAUUAAUUAUAGUGGGCUAAUUAUGGUUUUCUUUGUUUCAUGCUUAUUUAACUUGCUAAUAGUUUAAAAUUUGCUGCAUUGAACUCUGGAUUAUUGAACUGCAAUUUGUGAAUCUGUCCUGCGUUUUGAUUGUUUUGUGAACAAUUCUUGUGUUCUGCAGUUACAUAAAAGAUUCGAUAUAUUGUUGACCUUGGCUAAAAACAGUCGAAAACCUCUCUCUCUCUCUAUCUCAACUCAAUCUAUCUGUAUUCGUCAUCUGUUUCCGUGAUCUAUUUGGCUCCAUCUGACAUCUCGAUUUUAUAAUUUAUGCUGAGCAAGUGCUUGAUAUUUCCACGACAUAUUACAAUUCUCCUGUGUUUGAAGU